rnacentral:snRNA from 1 species
AUGCUCACCUAGGCAGCACAUAUACUAAAAUUGGAAUGAUACAGAAAAGAUUAGCAUGGCCCCUGCGCAAAGAUGACACUCAAAUUUGUGAAAAUAAAAAACGAAAU